GGGAAGGACAGCGGUCGCCGUCAGGCCUCAGCUGCCCGCCCCCGGAAACAGGCGCCCGCCGGGGAACUCAAACUCUUCUGUAUUUCUUUAUCUAAUAUAUACUGUCUGAGUAAAAACUAAAAUGAAUCAAAACUUUCAACAACGGAUCUCUUGGUUCUGGCAUCGAUGAAGAACGCAGCGAAAUGCGAUAAGUAAUGUGAAUUGCAGAAUUCAGUGAAUCAUCGAAUCUUUGAACGCACAUUGCGCCCGCCAGUAUUCUGGCGGGCAUGCCUGUUCGAGCGUCAUUUCAACCCUCAAGUCCCCUGUGGACUCGGUGUUGGGGACCGGCGAGACAGCCGCGGAUCUUCUUCCGCAGCGAGUCGCCGCCCCCCAAAUGACUUGGCGGCCUCGUCGCGGCCCUCCUCUGCGUAGUAUAGCACACCUCGCAACAGGAGCCCGGCGAAUGGCCACUGCCGUAAAACCCCCCAACUUUUUCAGAGUUGACCUCGAAUCAGGUAGGAAUACCCGCUGAACUUAA
rnacentral:rRNA from 1 species